AUUGAACGCUGGCGGCAGGCUUAACCCAUGCAAGUCGAACGAGUGGCGGACGGGUGAGUAAUGCUUGGGAAUAUAGCUUAUGGAGGGGGAUAACUACGGGAAACUGUAGCUAAUACCGCGUACAAUAGGAUGAGCCCAAGUGUGAUUAGGUAGUUGGUGAGGUAAAGGCUCACCAAGACGACGAUCUCUAGCUGGUCUGAGAGGAUGACCAGCCACACUGUGACUGAGACACGGCCCAGACUCCUACGGGAGGUAGCAGGGGGGAAUAUGGCGCAAUGGGGGCAACCUGACGCAGCCAGGCCGAGUGAAUGAAGAAGGCCUUCGGGUUUGAAAGUUCUUUCGGUAGCGAGGCGUUAACUACAGAAGAAGCACCGGCUAACUCCGUGCCAGCCGCCGCGGUAAUAC
rnacentral:rRNA from 1 species